AGUAGAGUGGCUGAGAAUAAAGGUGAUAGAUUGUAAAUCUAUAAAGGGUUAAAAUCCUUCUACUA
rnacentral:tRNA from 1 species